rnacentral:pre_miRNA from 12 species
UCGACACGCUUCGUGUUCACUGUCUGUCUUGAUCUUUUAUUCGAGAAUUAAGGCACGCGGUGAAUGCCAAGCGUGGGACG